rnacentral:rRNA from 1 species
GAUGAACGCUGGCGGCGUGCUUAAUACAUGCAAGUCGAACGAACAGGCCAGGAUUUUGUGUUUUGGUCGUUUGCGGAGGGGGGGAGUGUAACACGUGUAUACCAUACUUAUAUGACGGGGAUAUUUUGGGGAAUGCGGAUCUUAUACGAUAUAAUAUUUUGAACCGCGUGGGGCAAAGGAGAGUUACGGUGUUUCUGGAUGUUAUAGAUGGUUCCGCGCUGCAUUAGGUAGUUGGUGAGUUAACGGCUUACCAAGGCUACGAGGCAUAGCCGAACUGAGAGGGUGAUCGGCCACACUGGAACUGAGACACGGUCCAGACUCCUACGGGAGGCAGCAGUAGGGAAUCUUCCGCAAUGGGCGAAAGCCUGACGGAGCAACGCCGCGUGAGUGAUGAAGGUCCUCGGAUCGUAAAACUCUGUUAUUAGGGAAGAACAUAUGUGUAAGUAACUGUGGACAUCUUGACGGUACCUAAUCAGAAAGCAACGGCUAACUACGUG